GACGUAGGGCGCGAGCGUUGUCCGGAUUUAUUGGGCGUAAAGAGCUCGUAGGCGGCUUGUCGCGUCGAAUGUGAAAAACUUGGGGCUCAACUCCAAGCUUGCAUUCGAUACGGGCAGGCUAGAGUUCGGUAGGGGAGACUGGAAUUCCUGGUGUAGCGGUGAAAUGCGCAGAUAUCAGGAGGAACACCGGUGGCGAAGGCGGCUAUCUGGACAGAAACUGACGCUGAGGCGCGAAAGCUAGGGGAGCAAACAGG
rnacentral:rRNA from 1 species